UUUGAUCAUGGCUCAGAUUGAACGCUGGCGGCAGGCCUAACACAUGCAAGUCGAGCGGCAGCGGAAAGUAGCUUGCUACUUUGCCGGCGAGCGGCGGACGGGUGAGUAAUGUCUGGGAAACUGCCCGAUGGAGGGGGAUAACUACUGGAAACGGUGGCUAAUACCGCAUAACGUCUUCGGACCAAAGUGGGGGACCUUCGGGCCUCACACCAUCGGAUGUGCCCAGAUGGGAUUAGCUAGUAGGUGAGGUAACGGCUCACCUAGGCGACGAUCCCUAGCUGGUCUGAGAGGAUGACCAGCCACACUGGAACUGAGACACGGUCCAGACUCCUACGGGAGGCAGCAGUGGGGAAUAUUGCACAAUGGGCGCAAGCCUGAUGCAGCCAUGCCGCGUGUGUGAAGAAGGCCUUCGGGUUGUAAAGCACUUUCAGCGAGGAGGAAGGCAGUCGUGUUAAUAGCGCGAUUGAUUGACGUUACUCGCAGAAGAAGCACCGGCUAACUCCGUGCCAGCAGCCGCGGUAAUACGGAGGGUGCAAGCGUUAAUCGGAAUUACUGGGCGUAAAGCGCACGCAGGCGGU
rnacentral:rRNA from 1 species